GGUUAAGCGACUAAGCGUACACGGUGGAUGCCCUGGCAGUCAGAGGCGAUGAAGGACGUGCUAAUCUGCGAAAAGCGUCGGUAAGGUGAUAUGAACCGUUACAGCCGGCGAUGUCCGAAUGGGGAAACCCAGUGCAAUUCGUUGCACUAUCGUUAACUGAAUACAUAGGUUAACGAGGCGAACCGGGGGAACUGAAACAUCUAAGUACCCCGAGGAAAAGAAAUCAACCGAGAUUCCCCCAGUAGCGGCGAGCGAACGGGGAGCAGCCCAGAGUCUGAAUCAGCUUGUGUGUUAGUGGAACGGUCUGGAAAGUCCGACGGUACAGGGUGAUAGUCCCGUACACCAAAAUGCACAGGCUGUGAACUCGAAGAGUAGGGCGGGACACGUGGUAUCCUGUCUGAAUAUGGGGGGACCAUCCUCCAAGGCUAAAUACUCCUGACUGACCGAUAGUGAACCAGUACCGUGAGGGAAAGGCGAAAAGAACCCCGGCGAGGGGAGUGAAAAAGAACCUGAAACCGUGUACGUACAAGCAGUGGGAGCACCUUCGGGUGUGACUGCGUACCUUUUGUAUAAUGGGUCAGCGACUUAUAUUCUGUAGCAAGGUUAACCGUAUAGGGGAGCCGCAGGGAAACCGAGUCUUAACUGGGCGUUAAGUUGCAGGGUAUAGACCCGAAACCCGGUGAUCUAGCCAUGGGCAGGUUGAAGGUUGGGUAACACUAACUGGAGGACCGAACCGACUAAUGUUGAAAAAUUAGCGGAUGACUUGUGGCUGGGGGUGAAAGGCCAAUCAAACCGGGAGAUAGCUGGUUCUCCCCGAAAGCUAUUUAGGUAGCGCCUCGUGAAUUCAUCUUCGGGGGUAGAGCACUGUUUCGGCUAGGGGGUCAUCCCGACUUACCAACCCGAUGCAAACUACGAAUACCGAAGAAUGUUAUCACGGGAGACACACGGCGGGUGCUAACGUCCGUCGUGAAGAGGGAAACAACCCAGACCGCCAGCUAAGGUCCCAAAGUCACAGUUAAGUGGGAAACGAUGUGGGAAGGCACAGACAGCCAGGAUGUUGGCUUAGAAGCAGCCAUCAUUUAAAGAAAGCGUAAUAGCUCACUGGUCGAGUCGGCCUGCGCGGAAGAUGUAACGGGGCUAAACUGUGCACCGAAGCUGCGGCAGCGACACUUAGGUGUUGUUGGGUAGGGGAGCGUUCUGUAAGCCUGCGAAGGUGGCCUGUGAGGGUUGCUGGAGGUAUCAGAAGUGCGAAUGCUGACAUAAGUAACGAUAAUGCGGGUGAAAAGCCCGCACGCCGGAAGACCAAGGGUUCCUGUCCAACGUUAAUCGGGGCAGGGUGAGUCGACCCCUAAGGCGAGGCCGAAAGGCGUAGUCGAUGGGAAACAGGUUAAUAUUCCUGUACUUGGUGUUACUGCGAAGGGGGGACGGAGAAGGCUAUGUUAGCCGGGCGACGGUUGUCCCGGUUUAAGCAUGUAGGCGGAGGUUCCAGGUAAAUCCGGUACCUUAUUAACGCUGAGGUGUGAUGACGAGGCACUACGGUGCUGAAGUAACAAAUGCCCUGCUUCCAGGAAAAGCCUCUAAGCAUCAGGUAACAUUAAAUCGUACCCCAAACCGACACAGGUGGUCAGGUAGAGAAUACCAAGGCGCUUGAGAGAACUCGGGUGAAGGAACUAGGCAAAAUGGUGCCGUAACUUCGGGAGAAGGCACGCUGAUAUGUAGGUGAAGCCCCUGCGGGUGGAGCUGAAAUCAGUCGAAGAUACCAGCUGGCUGCAACUGUUUAUUAAAAACACAGCACUGUGCAAACACGAAAGUGGACGUAUACGGUGUGACGCCUGCCCGGUGCCGGAAGGUUAAUUGAUGGGGUUAUCCGUAAGGAGAAGCUCUUGAUCGAAGCCCCGGUAAACGGCGGCCGUAACUAUAACGGUCCUAAGGUAGCGAAAUUCCUUGUCGGGUAAGUUCCGACCUGCACGAAUGGCGUAAUGAUGGCCAGGCUGUCUCCACCCGAGACUCAGUGAAAUUGAACUCGCUGUGAAGAUGCAGUGUACCCGCGGCAAGACGGAAAGACCCCGUGAACCUUUACUAUAGCUUGACACUGAACAUUGAGCCUUGAUGUGUAGGAUAGGUGGGAGGCUUUGAAGCGUGGACGCCAGUCUGCGUGGAGCCAACCUUGAAAUACCACCCUUUAAUGUUUGAUGUUCUAACGUUGGCCCCUGACCGGGGUUGCGGACAGUGUCUGGUGGGUAGUUUGACUGGGGCGGUCUCCUCCCAAAGCGUAACGGAGGAGCACGAAGGUUAGCUAAUCCUGGUCGGACAUCAGGAGGUUAGUGCAAUGGCAUAAGCUAGCUUGACUGCGAGCGUGACGGCGCGAGCAGGUGCGAAAGCAGGUCAUAGUGAUCCGGUGGUUCUGAAUGGAAGGGCCAUCGCUCAACGGAUAAAAGGUACUCCGGGGAUAACAGGCUGAUACCGCCCAAGAGUUCAUAUCGACGGCGGUGUUUGGCACCUCGAUGUCGGCUCAUCACAUCCUGGGGCUGAAGUAGGUCCCAAGGGUAUGGCUGUUCGCCAUUUAAAGUGGUACGCGAGCUGGGUUUAGAACGUCGUGAGACAGUUCGGUCCCUAUCUGCCGUGGGCGCUGGAGAAUUGAGGGGGGCUGCUCCUAGUACGAGAGGACCGGAGUGGACGCAUCACUGGUGUUCGGGUUGUCAUGCCAAUGGCAUUGCCCGGUAGCUAAAUGCGGAAGAGAUAAGUGCUGAAAGCAUCUAAGCACGAAACUUGCCCCGAGAUGAGUUCUCCCUGAGACUUUAAGUCUCCUGAAGGAACGUUAAAGACGAUGACGUUGAUAGGUCGGGUGUGUAAGCGUAGCGAUACGUUGAGCUAACCGAUACUAAUGAACCGUGAGGCUUAACCUU
rnacentral:rRNA from 1 species